rnacentral:lncRNA from 1 species
CUGGUGUUCUCUCGCUGGAAUCAAUGGCUCCGGCCAUUAAUGGUGGUGAAGGGGUGGAGGCGGUGAUUGGGGAAGAUUGAGGAGGAAAAAAGGAAAGGGAGAUCCGUGGGGUUCGGUUCAGAGAACCUAGACAGAGGACGGUAUAGGAAGGUGCGGGCAGUGGCGAAGAUUUCGGCGGGCAGAGCGUUCCGGGUCCUAGCGUUCUACUUCUGUGCUCAUGCUAGAGGAGGAAGACGAGCAUUAGUGGGGCUAGGCUGGAGAGCUCGGGGCAGAGAUGGGCCACAGAGAGAGAGACAGAGAGGCAGUCCGGCCCGAAGAAAGAAAAACAAAAACAAAAAGCAGACAAGGGGGUUGAGUUGGCUAAACUUUUUCUAUUUUCGAAAAUUUUAAACUUCUAAACCAUGGCCCUCUUGUCAUAGAAUCCCGUUCCGUCUUAUAAUCUUGUAAAAUACGGUGUUGUAUUUUAUUGUUCAUAGCAACGCAC